AGUUGCUGGCUGAGACCAGAAGAGUGAAGGAGGAUUAAAAGGUUGCGAAACUCUGUAGAAGACUUCUGGACAAGAGAAGAAACUACUAACGAGACCAUUGAGGAAAGAUAAUAGAGGAUGGGAAAGCCUCUGAAGAUGGCGGUUUAAUGCUCUGAAAGAGGGGAAUUGAGUGAGAAUUGUCAGUACUGCAAACUCCAUGGAUUGCACAACAGCAUAGGAAUGACAUUUACAUCACUGCAGUGAAGCUCAGAAUCUGGUUCAGUGGGUCCAAAAGGAAUAAAAAUGGCUUCCCCACAAAUAUACCAGAGAGAGAAAGAAAUAGAAGACAAGAGCACCAAGCAGAAACCCAAGGAAUUUUGGGAAGUAAUCUGACAUGGUGGAUGGGAGUUGAAUCUUUACCAUCUUGGGCUGUGUGAUCUCAUUAGCUUUCACAAAAUAAGAUAUGUCUAGCCUGGUCAAUACUUGGAGACCUCUAAGCAAGGUAGAGAUGCUACAUGGAAUGAUACUGAUGAUUCCUCAGGUGGCUAUCUUCAUGAACAACCAAAAUCACUGGGAGCACUGUGCUGUUGAAGGUGUGGUCUUUCAGACUGAUGUAAAAACCAAGAUCACUCCAUUAUAGAAAUUAGAAAUGGAAAAGACAUAUUAGAGUGUCUAAUCUGUCCCCAUGUUGGUGCAGAUUAUUCCUUCUGGUGCUAUGUCAGCUUAGUUUUUUGUUUCUUUUUAAAUAUCCUAAGUGAAGAAGAUAUGAGAUCCUUCUGCACCCAUGUAUUCAUUAAAGAUCCCAUCACAUUUUCCACAAAGAUAAGGGUGUUAGACUUCCAGUUAUAGUAUGACUAUUUAAAUUCCUCCUGCAAUUACUUCAUCUUCUUCUUCACUUUCUGUCUCAUGCUGUUGGGUAGUGCUGCUGUGAAUUGUUAAAAGGUUGUCCUGUUCACCAGAGAGGUGACUGCAUUUAGAGUACAUUUGGGCAUUUGGGAUCCUUUGGAAUGAAAAGAGCUGUAUACAUGAAGGUUUUUAUUAAGUGCUUAAGAUGUAAAUGUAAUUGGAAGGAAGUAAAGAAAUUCUAAUAUUAAAGAGGCAAUGUUGCAUAUGUAUACCUUGGACAUGGGGAUGCACCCCUUAAAAAGUUUGCAUAAGUGUCCAUUAUACUGUAUACUCAUUCAUUCUUAUAGGUAUAAAUGGAAAAUUCAUUUCAUUUGGAUUUAAAAACACACCCAGAAGAGCAG